UGAUUUAUCAGGGUGACUGCGUACCUUUUGUAUAAUGGGUCAGCGACUUAUAUUCUGUAGCAAGGUUAACCGUAUAGGGGAGCCGUAGGGAAACCGAGUCUUAACUGGGCGAAUAAGUUGCAGGGUAUAGACCCGAAACCCGGUGAUCUAGCCAUGGGCAGGUUGAAGGUUGGGUAACACUAACUGGAGGACCGAACCGACUAAUGUUGAAAAAUUAGCGGAUGACUUGUGGCUGGGGGUGAAAGGCCAAUCAAACCGGGAGAUAGCUGGUUCUCCCCGAAAGCUAUUUAGGUAGCGCCUCGUGAACUCAUCUUCGGGGGUAGAGCACUGUUUCGACUAGGGGGUCAUCCCGACUUACCAACUCGAUGCAAACUACGAAUACCGAAGAAUGUUAUCACGGGAGACACACGGCGGGUGCUAACGUUCGUCGUGAAGAGGGAAACAACCCAGACCGCCAGCUAAGGUCCCAAAGUCAUAGUUAAGUGGGAAACGAAGUGGGAAGGCUCAGACAGCCAGGAUGUUGGCUUAGAAGCAGCCAUCAUUUAAAGAAAGCGUAAUAGCUCACUGGUCGAGUCGGCCUGCGCGGAAGAUGUAACGGGGCUAAACUAUGCACCGAAGCUGCGGCAGCGAUAU
rnacentral:rRNA from 1 species